GGGGCUAACCUUUAGCAAUGAUGGUUUAAUCAGGAACUAGUAACUCAAAUCCAAAGGAUGGAAUAUGUAAGAAACUUGCAUGAAUAUGAAUAGAUUCCAUUCUGAUUUCUCUAUACAGCCUAAUCACAGCUUCCAUAUUCAACAAAAAUAAAAUCAUAUAAUUGAACCAUCCAAUCUCAAGCCAAGAGAUCAUUGUAUUUUCACUUAUAAUUUUCUCACAUGACAAUUUUAAAUCAUGCUAGCUUAACUCACCACAUCAAUGAUCCAUCUAUUGGCAUUUGGCAGUGCAAUUUGUCCCAAUUAAGGUCCAUUCCCUCCAUUCAUUCGGACUCAUAAAUUUUGUAGAAACAAUUUCUAGACGAAAUCCUUCAUUAAUCUUAGUGGACAUAUAGAAAAUUUUGAGAACCUGGAUAAAUUGUACUCACGCCUUCAAUUAAUAAAUAUCUCUCCACACAUAAAUAUAAACAACUUAACCCAUUAGCCUUUGGAGUUUAUACAAUUGACGCUUCAAUGCAUGGAAGUGAAGUGAGAUACUCUAUGUUUUGGACGUACAAGGUUAUCUAGCUUACUUAGACCAUAGAAAACAAACAGUUUCUUUUUGCUAAGUUUUCUCGGAAACCAAACACUGAAACUGAAUAAGCAAAUAAACACUAACAAAAG
rnacentral:misc_RNA from 1 species